CAUGGCGCGAUGAAAUGGGAAUGGGGUGAGAAUCCCCAACUGUCCCGCAGCUGUAAGGUCCUUUUAUCGCCACCAAGCUUGACACCACUGCCUGUAUGAUAGUUGGGUGGGAAGGUGCUUGGUGGUAGGUCCAAAGUCAGAAGACCAGCCUCUGAAAUUUG
rnacentral:ncRNA from 1 species